rnacentral:tRNA from 1 species
GCCCUUGUGGCUGAAUGGUUAAGUGUUUGGCUGCUAACCAAAAGACUGGUGAUUCAAACCCACCAGCUGCU